rnacentral:piRNA from 1 species
AAGGCCUUGUCUGUGAUGAACUGC